rnacentral:rRNA from 2 species
CGGAGGGAAACCGAGUCUUAACCGGGCGUUAAGUUGCAGGGUAUAGACCCGAAACCCGGUGAUCUAGCCAUGGGCAGGUUGAAGGUUGGGUAACACUAACUGGAGGACCGAACCGACUAAUGUUGAAAAAUUAGCGGAUGACCUGUGGCUGGGGGUGAAAGGCCAAUCAAACCGGGAGAUAGCUGGUUCUCCCCGAAAGCUAUUUAGGUAGCGCCUCGUGAAUUCAUCUCCGGGGGUAGAGCACUGUUUCGGCUAGGGGGCCAUCCCGGCUUACCAACCCGAUGCAAACUGCGAAUACCGGAGAAUGUUAUCACGGGAGACACACGGCGGGUGCUAACGUCCGUCGUGAAGAGGGAAACAACCCAGACCGCCAGCUAAGGUCCCAAAGUCAUGGUUAAGUGGGAAACGAUGUGGGAAGGCCCAGACAGCCAGGAUGUUGGCUUAGAAGCAGCCAUCAUUUAAAGAAAGCGUAAUAGCUCACUGGUCGAGUCGGCCUGCGCGGAAGAUGUAACGGGGCUAAACCAUGCACCGAAGCUGCGGCAGCGAACGUAUCACCCAAGACAACUUUACGG